ensembl:lncRNA
AACACUGAGCAAACAGAAAACACAUCAAGAAGAACAAAUUUGGUUGGAAAGAAGAACAGAAAACCAGUGAGGAAAGAGCAAGGUGCGGUCUGUGGCAUCAAAUGCACAAAAAAUUACCUGAAGCAGUGAGGAGGGAAGGAAGGACCAUCAGCACAAAGCAAUUUUGGCGACAGCCUCAGAACACCGGCAAUGCACCACACUCCCAAAAAUCCUUUGCCUGACACCAGUCACCUCAUAGGGGAAACAAAGCAUCAAAAAACUGUGAGGGUAGAAAAUAGUAAAUGUGGGCAUGAUAAUCCUAGUUGUACAUAAUAUGGAGCAUCAACAUCAUCAUCAUUGUGAUAGUAAUAAGUUAAUAUGCUUCUUAAUCUAACCAAAAUCUUAACAGUAAAAUCUUGACUUCUUUUAAUGCACUUUGCCCCUCCACCCAUAAUCAAGCAAUUGUAGGCAACAAAAGCAUAACAUUUGUAAAACAGUUUGGUCAAAUAUUUUUUUUGAAAUUUCGUCUGGUUAGAUAGACAUCCAAUUUAUGUUGUGUCAUGAAACUUUUUCAAUGAACGUUUUAUGCAAAUAUGCUGCUGUAAAGAGUAUUUUAACUUUAAAUUCUGCAAGUAUAUGUCAAAUAUGUUCUGAUAAUGCUCUGAAAGCACAAACCCGAAGAUUCAAUCAUAGACUUUUAAUUUAAAAAUAUUAAAGUUAAGUAUGCACAUAUUUAAUUAGUUACAGAUUUGGAGGUUUUUUUUCCCCAUGAACAGCUUUGUCUAGAGCACUAAAGAGAGGUGAUUGAAAUGCACAGUCUGGUUUUUUUCUAGACAGAAGAGUGAAUAGUCUCAGGAGGAUAACAUUAGCAUUUAUAUUAUGCACGUACCUGUUAGGCUUCUUAUCUAUUAUUUGCAAACACAGAGAGAGGCAGCAAAUGAAAGGAAAACAGAGGGAGGAAUUCAGUUUUGGGGAAGAGAAGACACACGUCUUGCAAAUUUGUCUCACUUUAGGAGGAAAUCAUGGAUUCACAGAUUUCACAGAAUAUUCUGCAUUGGAAGCAAAAGCAAUUCAAGUUCUAGGAAGAAAGGGUCUUGAACCAAGUUCUUACCUGCUCUAUAACUCUCCGAAGAGGUUUUGGCUGUACUCUGGAGUCAUUGAUGUUGGAGCUGUUCUACUGCACACAAAAAGCAGCCAUCAGGACUAGAGAAGCAAUCCUUCCAGUCUGAUCUAUUCCUGGUAAAACUCCUUGGGAUAACUUUGCCUCUGUGGAUAAUGCAGGAGAGUUUUGAGAGGUGUGAACAUGAGCAUCUUGCAGCAGGACACGAAACAGUUGAAAAGGAACUCGUAAGGACAAGGGAAAACUGGAUUUUGACACUCAGCAGAGGGAAAAGGAACCAAAACUUCACUGUACAGGCUACAUCUGCUUAUUUGUAGUUUAAAGUGUAGCACCUUUUUUAUUUAGUACCCUUUUUUUUUUUGCUCCUUUCCUCUUUUCAUUUCAAAGCAGCGCCUUUGAGAGUGAGUGUAGCAAAGAGAUUGCUAAAGAGAACUGCUCUGAGCACAAGUCUUGGAGUUGAUUAGAAGAAACCUGGAGAGAUUUCUGAGAUGUUAAAACCUACAGAUGAAAACUGGUGUAUUACACACAGGACACAGGAGAAGGCUGAACUAACAAGGCAGAGCAGAAAAGUGAGAAUUUUCUCAGACGUCCUCCCAGCCGCAGAACUUUUCUGUUUUUCUAGAAAAGAUUUUUUACCAUUUCUCUUUUUCUUUAAUUGCAUCCUCCUAUUCAAAAAAAAAGGAAGUUUUUCUAAAACCCACACUCAGGCAUUGAAAGCCCUUACAAGCCCUUGAAAGCGGUUUCAGGUUCAAUAUUUUAAAUGUGGGAGAUUUUGUGGGGUUUUGGCUCUGUUGUUCUGGCUUUAGGUAGGUUUAUUUUUUUGCUUAUUUUCCUGGGGUUUUUGUUGGGCUAAUUUUGUUAAUUGUUUUAUUAAACUAGCUUUGUGGGAUAGAUUAGUGAGCAGUUUUUUUCCCAAAGCCCUGAUCAUGUCAUCAGGUCAAGUACUGGGGUUUUCGUGAUCAGAGCCACUGCCGAAGGUGCUGGAAAAGUGGAACUAAGUAUUUGCUGCGGACACACUUAAAUCUAUUUAAAAUUAAUUAAAUGAAAUAAAAACAUAUGUAAGUUUUAUCA